rnacentral:lncRNA from 13 species
CCUUUAACCCUGAGUACUGUAGCUAAUACUAACCCUGAGUACUGUAGCUAGUACCCUCUAACCCCCUAACCUUUAACCCUGAGUACUAUAGCUAAUACUAACCCUCUAACCCUCUAACCUUUAACCUUUAACCCUGAGUACUGUAGCUAAUACUAACCCUGAGUACUGUAGCUAAUACUAACCCCCUAACCUUUAACCCUGAGUACUGUAGCUAAUAAUAACCCUGAGUACUGUAGCUAAUACUAACCCUGAGUACUGUAGCUAAUACUAACCCUGAGUACUGUAGCUAAUACUAACCCUGAGUACUGUAGCUAAUACUAACCCCCUAACCUUUAACCCUGAGUACUGUAGCUAAUACUAACCCUGAGUACUGUAGCUAAUACUAACCCUGAGUACUGUAUCUAAUACUAACCCUCUAACCUUUAACCCUGAGUACUGUAGCUACUACCCUCUAACAUUUAACCUUUAACCCUGAGUACUGUAGCUACUACCCUCUAACCCUCUAACCCUCUAACCUUUAACCCUGAGUACUGUAGCUAAUACUAACCCUGAGUACUGUAGCUACUACCCUCUAACCCUCUAACCUUUAACCCUGAGUACUGUAGCUAAUACUAACCCUGAGUACUGUAGCUAGUACCCUCUAACCCCCUAACCUUUAACCCUGAGUACUAUAGCUAAUACUAACCCUCUAACCCUCUAACCUUUAACCUUUAACCCUGAGUACUGUAGCUAAUACUAACCCUGAGUACUGUAGCUAAUACUAACCCCCUAACCUUUAACCCUGAGUACUGUAGCUAAUAAUAACCCUGAGUACUGUAGCUAAUACUAACCCUGAGUACUGUAGCUAAUACUAACCCUGAGUACUGUAGCUAAUACUAACCCUGAGUACUGUAGCUAAUACUAACCCCCUAACCUUUAACCCUGAGUACUGUAGCUAAUACUAACCCUGAGUACUGUAGCUACUACCCUCUAACCCUCUAACCCUCUAACCUUUAACCCUGAGUACUGUAGCUAAUACUAACCCUGAGUACUGUAGCUACUACCCUCUNNNNNNNNNNNNNNNNNNNNNNNNNNNNNNACGAGACACACACACACUGCCAAGCCCUCGGAGAGAGGACUCAUACGCAUGGGUACGAGACACACACACACACUGCCAAGCCCUCGGAGAGAGGACUCAUACGCAUGGAGGAGGCAGAGGACCCAGCCUGUGUCCCCAUCUUCUGGAUCAGCAAGUGGGUCGAC